UACGUAGGGUGCAAGCGUUGUCCGGAAUUAUUGGGCGUAAAGAGCUCGUAGGCAGUUUGUCGCGUCUGCUGUGAAAUCCCGAGGCUCAACCUCGGGCCUGCAGUGGGUACGGGCAGACUAGAGUGCGGUAGGGGAGAUUGGAAUUCCUGGUGUAGCGGUGGAAUGCGCAGAUAUCAGGAGGAACACCGGUGGCGAAGGCGGGUCUCUGGGCCGAUACUGACGCUGAGGAGCGAAAGCGUGGGGAGCGAACAGG
rnacentral:rRNA from 1 species